rnacentral:lncRNA from 1 species
UGAGGACAAGGAUAGUGUAGAGGAGGCAGCUGAGUUGGGUAUUUAAUUUCUCAUUCAAGUAAAAGGAAUGACCAGGCGGACAGAAGAUAACUUCCACCAGGAUCUGGAUAGAAUGAUAAACUGAGAGAUUGAUGCUAGUAGUGUCAUAGGAUCAUGGGAUUUAAGCUGGAGCAACUCUUCUCAUUGUCAAGGUUCUAAAAAUAAAAGGUGAAGAAACUGGAGCACACAUGAUUAAGCAACUUGACUGGGGUCAUACAACUAGCUUUCAGAACA